ACAUCAAAACUGUAGACACCUAAUUUGUGUCUCCCCUUUGGGAUGAUGACGGUACCAUUAUCCUUGUUAGGCGAUUGGAGUAACUCCAGGCGGAAAUCCCAAUUACUAAGAGCACCUCCAACAUCCAAAGUCUAAAAUCCAAUCCCCGAGGUCGUUCCCCUCCCGGAACUCGGUACAAAAUACAACUUCCAAAAUCCAAUUUCAAAAUCCAAGUUCAAACUAAACUAGUAGACCAUCCCAUUGGUUUUAGUAGGCCUUUUCCACUCAAAAUCAUAUAAGGCAAGUCAAAUUCGGGCGCCGACCCACAAAACCGAGCAUGCCGGGCCCCGUCCCGUAAAACCGGAAUUCAAAAACCCGAGAAAGGCUUGUUUUUAGACGCAAAUUCAAGUCUUAACCUCCAAGAAAACACUACACGCCAAACAUCUUACUAUUCGUACGAAGGUACACCCAUACAAGACAAAUCAAGGACGGCAUCUUUCCGUCCUUUUGGCGGCAUUCAAGCCACCUCAGCAGCGCGCAGCGCUGGCCUGGUGUAAUACCUCGUAUUUUUAAAAUAUUUAUAAGUAUAUAUAUUAUUAUAUUUAUAAAGAAUUUUACGAUUUAUUAACAUUUAAAUAAUAUUUAAAUGUAUUUUAUUUAAUGUAUUUUAAUUAAUUAGAAUAUUUAUUAUUUUAAUUAAUUACGAAACGAAUUUAAUUCUUGAGUUGGGAAAUUAAAUGAGUUGCAAAUGAUUUUUAAAGGCUUCGGGUUUUAAAUGAAAAGUCCAUUUCGUUUUACUAAUCGAGCCCAAUCAAAAGUAUUUAAUUCAAGUCCUAAGCUAGCCCAAUCAUUUAAUUCCCUAAGCCCAAUUCUAAUUUCCUAAGCCUAACCCAUUAACAAUAAGGAGCCUAUAAAUAAGACUCCUCAUCAUUAAUUGACCCCCUAUUUUGUCAUAAACCCUUUUCUCUCUUUCUUGCCCAACACUCCUCCUUCUUUCUCUCCCUUUUGUUCGACCGGCUCACUCGGCCCGUAAACACGAGCCUCGUGUUGUUGGGUCGCUGUUGCCCCCUUGUGCCCUCGUGUGCCCUCGCGCGCCAGCGCCCUCACUCCCUCUCUCGCCCUUCGCGCGCCAGCGCCCGCACUCCCUCGCUCGCUCUCUCGCGCCAGCGCGCUGUCCCUCUUGUCUCUCGCCCGCAGCCGCAGCGUGCCCUUGUGCCUGCGCUGCUACUUGCCUUGUUGUUGCUCGCGUGCUCAGCGCACGCCCUCGCUCUUGCCCCUCCUCUCGCGCGCGCGCCCCAGCGUGCCAUGCGCCCUGUCCCGCGCGCAAGCGCUGCUGCGCCCUUCGCCCCUGCGCGCACACACGCGUGCGUGUGUGUGUUGUUCGUGCUCGUAAUUCAAUUCCUUUUCGCCCAAUCACUCUAAUUCGUGGUUGUUCCGUGCUAUAGGCCGGAUUGGUAUAAUUCUCUUCUUCCUUACCUAUUCUAUUUAAAUUUCGUAUUUUAAAUUAUUAUAUUAAUAUUGUUUUGAGUAAUUAAAAUGCUGGGAACCGGUUAUGAAUACCGUGGUUUGAGGAUUUGCGUGUUGUGAUUCGUUAGGUUUGUUUUAAUUAUUAAAGGAUGAAUUUUUAGAUUUUUUUAUUGAAUAAAGCAUUGAUUUUUAUGAUAAUAAACUAGUGUUAUUGGGGUUUUCAAGUUAGGGUUUCAACCUACACCUAAUGAGUCAAUUGAUUAGCAUAGUUAGGUGAUGAUUUUAAUUAUGAUAAUCAAUUAUAUUUUUAGAUUUGAAUAAAGGUUAAAGUGUCGAUUUGUAUUGAUUUUAAAGGCGGAAAAAGUAUGUUUUCGUACUAAGGAUUGAUUUUGCAAAUUGAGACGUUUUGAUUAUUGAAAAACGAUUGAAUUCUAAAGUUUAAAGGAGGUUUUAAAUUUUAUAAAGUUGCUGGAAAUUUAAUGAACAUGGAAAUAAUUUAAGUUUCAUUAUUUUGAUGAUAGGAGGUGAUUUCUAGUUGAGUGCUCGUUAUUGCAAAGUGGCCCCUACGCUUAGGUAUUCAGGAAUAAUAUAGCAGGUUGGUAGAUCGGAAUCAUGUGGCUUGGGAUGAUCGAGAGAGUUGCAUGUUUUCGUAUUUUGAACUAUUUAACUUUACUUUAAUUAUGUUUGAAACGUUUGAAUUAUUUAUACUUUGGGUUUUGGGCCAUUAUGGUUCCAAAUUGUAGGAGGCCUCAAUAUUUCAUUAAUUAUGGUUUUUAAAAGUUAGUUGACAUUUAA